GACGGGGUUUUGCCAUAACACAUGUUUGGAGAUGAACUGCCUACUAAACCUUCUACGUGGACCGCUUUCUCUCUCUGAAUCCUCUCCCGCCUACUGCCUCUCUCUCUCUCUCUCAACGUUACAACCACCAGAAUCCUCCUGUUCCUCUCAACCUCUCAUCUGAACUCAUCCUGCUCUUCUUCCAUUGAAGGUUUCUAUUGAAGCUCGAACUCUUGGAGUCGUCAUCCACUCCCUGAUAGCCCAUCGUUCGCUGCUCUCACUUCCUGUCGCCGCCGUUGGUGUUGGUCCGCCCGAUCACUGAGGAUCAACCUGCUACAAAUGAGGAUAUAAUUCAAUGAGACCAGACCACACUUAAAAUUUCAGUAUACGGUCAGUCUAUUGCAGGUCCAAGUUUUCGGUUCUCAGUUUCCGGUUCAACUCUAUGGCCUACCAACUGUUUGGUACUGGUUCUUGGUUUGGGACCUAACCAAGCCAAACUGGAAUGAACUUUAAAUCAGUAGACAGGCCCUUUCAGCCCCGAAGCAUCCCACAUCUUUUUGAAUUCUGAAUUCAUUCCUCAAUGGCUGUAACUAGUUUCAAACAUGCGAACCCAUUGACUAAUUUUGAGAAAUGUAGGUCCGAGAACCCGCACAACCUGAUCAAAACCAACAAACACUCACUCUUUCACUCUCAUAGACCUCAUUGUUUAGCAUAUUGUCCAUCAAAUGACCUGGAACUUGGUCUUAAAAGUAUGCAAUCACAAGAACCCUGUAGUAGUACAAGCCAAGAACUGUUUUCAUCAGCUUCUUUAUCAGAUUCUCUUUUGGUGGAAAAGAUUUUAUUAGGUCUGAAGCAAGGUAACCUCACCUCUUUGCGCAGCUUUCUGUUUC